rnacentral:lncRNA from 1 species
ACUAAUCUGUUUGUUCAUUUUUCAGAUAUGUACUAUAUAUUGAGUUUCAUACCGAUGCUUAUUGUGCAGACAAAGACAAACACUUUUAAAGGACUAACAUCAAUGGAAAAAUACAUGAGCUCGUUCAUUACAGUUAAUGUCUACUUUCGUCGUCCGAUUAAAAUUUGAAUGAUAUGUACUAUAUAUUGAGUUUCAUACCGAUGCUCAUUGUGCAGACAAAGACAAACACUUUUAAAGGACUAACAUCAAUGGAAAAAUACAUGAGCUCGUUCAUUACAGUUAAUGUCUACUUUCGUCGUUCGAUUAAAAUUUGAAUGAUAUGUACUAUAUAUUGAGUUUCAUACCGAUGCUUAUUGUGCAGACAAAGACAAACACUUUUAAAGGAAUAACAUCAAUGGAAAAAUACAUGAGCUCGUUCAUUACAGUUAAUGUCUACUUUGGUCGUCCGAUUAAAAUUUGAAUGAUAUGUACUAUAUAUUGAGUUUCAUACCGAUGCUUAUUGUGCAGACAAAAAAAAACACUUUUAAAGGACUAACAUCAAUGGAAAAAUACAUGAGCUCGUUCAUUACAGUUAAUGUCUACUUUGGUUGUCCGAUUAAAAUUUGAAUGAUAUGUACUAUAUAUUGAGUUUCAUACCGAUGCUUAUUGUGCAGACAAAGACAAACACUUUUAAAGGACUAACAUCAAUGGAAAAAUACAUGAGCUCGUUCAUUACAGUUAAUGUCUACUUUGGUCGUCCGAUUAAAAUUUGAAUGAUAUGUUCUAUAUAUUGAGUUUCAUACCGAUGCUUAUUGUGCAGACAAA